rnacentral:rRNA from 1 species
ACGGGUGAGGAACACGUAGGAACUUGACCUUUAGAGGGGGACAACCAAGGGAAACUUUGGCUAAUACCGCGUAAUCUCGAGAGAGUAAAGCUGCCCGCAAGGGUGGCGCUAGAGGAGAGGCCUGCGUCCGAUUAGCUAGUUGGUAGGGUAAAAGCCUACCAAGGCGAUGAUCGGUAACUGGUCUGAGGGGACGGCCAGUCACACUGGGACUGAGACACGGCCCAGACUCCUACGGGAGGCAGCAGUGGGGAAUAUUGGACAAUGGGGGCAACCCUGAUCCAGCGAUGCCGCGUGGGUGAAGAAGGCCUUCGGGUUGUAAAGCCCUUUAGGCCGGGAAGAAGUGUAGUGGGGGAAUAUCCCAUUACAUUGACGGUACCGGCAGAAUAAGCACCGGCAAACUCUGUGCCAGCAGCCGCGGUAAUACAGAGGGUGCGAGCGUUAAUCGGAGUUACUGGGCGUAAAGGGCGCGUAGGCGGUAAGAUGAGUGUGGUGUGAAAGCCCCGGGCUUAACCUGGGAAGUGCACCGCAAACGAUCUAACUAGAGUAUAUGAGAGGGUGGCGGAAUUUCCGGUGUAGCG